rnacentral:rRNA from 1 species
UACGUAGGGUGCGAGCGUUGUCCGGAAUUAUUGGGCGUAAAGAGCUCGUAGGCGGCCUGUCGCGUCGGAUGUGAAAGCCCGGGGCUUAACCCCGGGUCUGCAUUCGAUACGGGCAGGCUAGAGUGUGGUAGGGGAGAUCGGAAUUCCUGGUGUAGCGGUGAAAUGCGCAGAUAUCAGGAGGAACACCCGUGGCGAAGGCGGUUCUCUGGGACGGUACUGACGCUGAGACGCGAAAGCGUGGGGAGCGAACAGG